AAAUUGAGCCUAUCAAACGUGUUUAACCAGCCAACGUGUUUAACCAACAUGUUUAACCAACCAACCAACCAACCAACCAACCAACCAACCAAUCAACCAAUCAAUGCAUGUUUCCGUUUCAUGUGUUAAAUACGGGAUCCAAGAUGUUUUUUUUCGCUUGUUUAAAUUGAGCCUUUCAAACGUGUUUAACCAGCCAACGUGUUUAACCAACGUGUUAAACCAACAUGUUUAACCAACGUGUUUAACCAACCAACCAACCAAUCAAUCACUUAAUGUAUGUUUCCGUGUCAUGCGUUUAAUACGGGAUGCAAGGUCUCUUGAGGUCUUUUUCCCCUUGUUCUAAGUGACCCUAUCAAACGUGUUUAAUCAACCAACCUACCAACAAACCAACCAACCAACCAAUCAAUCAACCAACCAACUAAUCAAUCAAUCAAUAUGUAUGACUGUUUAUUUAUGACAGUUUAUUGAAGGAACAAACUCUCAAUUAUUCAAGAAAAUUUUUAUUUUAUUAUUGUUCUUACGUCUCUUCUGAAAAAAAAUCCACAUAUUCUCUGAAACUACAAGUCCAAUCGACCUGAAAAUUUGCAGUCAGCAGGGCAUACAUGUACUGAAGGUUCAUAAAAAAACUUGGUGCAGAUAUCUCUCAAGACUUUUCCUAGAGAAAAAGAAAUGGCAAUGCCGUAAAAAUCGCUUGCUAGGUCCGUCAAUCUCAGUAAAAACCUACAAUAAAAUGUCCGCUCCGAGAUUGAAAUACUAAUCUGUGUUACAAACAGGUGCUGAAAAAUGGACAUUAUCAAAAAAUAAUCAUUAAAUGUGUAUUAAAGUUACACCGGAACAAUUAAAUCCAAAACAUGCACUGCUGGUGAACUGUGAUCAAAAUGUCAAUUUCCUACAAUGACAAAAGAAAUUACAUUGUGUACAUUCCAUCUCUAGACAUGUUGUCUGUUCAAGGUCCCGACCUAAAAAGAAAUAAAAAGACUAAGUUUUCGUUAUUAUAAACCCAAGUCACGUGAUGUCUCCUCAAUCUUGCGCGCGCGCUGUAUCUAAAAUAAAAGAAAAACUUUCCAAACUAAACAUGAAACUUCUCCGGUAACAUAAUAAUAUAGACCCUUUACAAAAACAAACAAACAAACAAAAACAAAUACCCCCCCCCCCCCCCCCAAAUCAAUCAUGUUUUAAAGGGGGAAAGACUGUCUACAAUUGCUUUUAGAAAGCAAUUGAUUUAUAUUUAUUAUUAUUAAGUCUUUCCACUUUUCUGUGGAAAGACUUAUUGUUUUUGUUCUGAUUAUUAAGUCUUUCCACUUUUCUGUGGAAAGACUUAUUGUUUUUGUUCUGAUUAUUAAGUCUUUCCACUUUUCUGUGGAAAGACUUAUUGUAUUUCUUCUGAUUAUUAUUAUUUUUUUUUUUUUUUCUUCCGCCAAAUUUUGUUCUUGCGAUAAAUGUUUGUUUCGCAAUAUGUCGCUUAGAUAUUUCUCAUAUUGUAUCGUAUAGUUUAUGCGCUUUUAAAUUUCACCCUGCUAAGCCGAACCAUUUUCUUUGUAAGAGUUAUCUCCCUAUUCACUGUUUAUCAUGUGUGUGCAUCUCCUUCGUAACAAAAAAAGAUAGCGACAAAAUUCUUUUUACAAAUUGUUCGUUACAUCCUCAGAAAAUUUUGGCUAAUUUGGAUCGAAGCGAUUCGAUGAAAUUUUAUAGGAGUUAUCUAUCUUUACGGAAUAAAUUUGUCGGUAUGUUUUUUUAACUCAUAAACCGUUAACCGUAUAACCCUGGAAUGUUUUUAUUUGAGUCCCCUAGGUCCUAACUUAGAAAAUUAGGUCAAGGUCAAAGGUCAAGGUCAAGUUCUCAAUUGUGACUUUUGCUUGUUUUUGCAUUUUCUCCCUCACUUUGAGAGAUACAUAUAAAAGAACAAGUGCAAAAUGUCUGCUUAAUUGUAAUGGAGAUAUGCUACAUUUAGUCUUAUACUAUUAAAUGGCAUCUUAUAGGAGUUGUUGCCCCUGAAAUGUCUUGAUAUGAGGUUAUUUGAUUAUAACUUCAAGUAAGUUCAUUAUAAAGACAUUUGACCUUAUAUAAAAGGUUAAGUGACAAAUGACCUUGAAAAAUGGCUACCGGAAGUGACCUUGAGAAAACCGGAAGUAGCUUUUUUUUCAGUUUUUU
rnacentral:lncRNA from 1 species